GACGAACGCUGGCGGCGUGCCUAACACAUGCAAGUCGAACGAGGUCCAUGCAGUGGCAACACUGCGGAAGACCUAGUGGCGAACGGGUGAGUAACACGUGAGGAACCUGCCCCGAAGACCGGGAUAACUCUCCGAAAGGAGCGCUAAUACCGGAUGCCCCCACCGAACCGCAUGGUUUGGUGAGGAAAUGGAUUCCGCUUCGGGAGGGCCUCGCGGCCUAUCAGCUAGUUGGUGGGGUAACGGCCCACCAAGGCAUCGACGGGUAGCUGGUCUGAGAGGACGAUCAGCCACACUGGGACUGAGACACGGCCCAGACUCCUACGGGAGGCAGCAGUGGGGAAUCUUGCGCAAUGGGCGAAAGCCUGACGCAGCAACGCCGCGUGGGGGAUGAAGGCUUUCGGGUUGUAAACCCUUUCAGCAGGGACGAAUCAAGACGGUACCUGCAGAAGAAGCCCGGCUAACUACGUGCCAGCAGCCGCGGU
rnacentral:rRNA from 1 species